rnacentral:rRNA from 1 species
UGUAGAGUUUGAUCCUGGCUCAGAUUGAACGCUGGCGGCAUGCUUUACACAUGCAAGUCGAACGGCAGCGCGGGGCAACCUGGCGGCGAGUGGCGAACGGGUGAGUAAUAUAUCGGAACGUACCCAAGAGUGGGGGAUAACGUAGCGAAAGUUACGCUAAUACCGCAUACGAUCCAAGGAUGAAAGUGGGGGAUUCGCAAGAACCUCAUGCUCCUGGAGCGGCCGAUAUCUGAUUAGCUAGUUGGUGAGGUAAAGGCUCACCAAGGCGACGAUCUCUAGCUGUUCUGAGAGGAAGAUCAGCCACACUGGAACUGAGACACGGACCAGACUCCUACGGGAGGCAGCAGUAGGGAAUAUUGGGCAAUGGACGAGAGUCUGACCCAGCCAUGCCGCGUGCAGGAAGACGGCGUUCUGCGUUGUAAACUGCUUUUAUCUGGGAAGAAAAUGCCCAUGCGUGGGAAAUUGCCGGUACCAGAUGAAUAAGCACCGGCUAACUCCGUGCCAGCAGCCGCGGUAAUACGGAGGAUCCAAGCGUUAUCCGGAAUCAUUGGGUUUAAAGGGUCCGUAGGUGGAUAAUUAAGUCAGAGGUGAAAUCCUGCAGCUCAACUGUAGAAUUGCCUUUGAUACUGGUUGUCUUGAGUUAUUAUGAAGUAGUUAGAAUAUGUAGUGUAGCGGUGAAAUGCAUAGAUAUUACAUAGAAUACCAAUUGCGAAGGCAGAUUACUAAUAAUCAACUGACACUGAUGGACGAAAGCGUGGGGAGCGAACAGGAUUAGAUACCCUGGUAGUCCACGCCGUAAACGAUGAGAGCUAGUUGUCUGCAGGCAUGCCUGUAGGUGACGCAGCUAACGCAUUAAGCUCUCCGCCUGGGGAGUACGGCCGCAAGGUUAAAACUCAAAGAAAUUGACGGGGGCCCGCACAAGCGGUGGAGCAUG